rnacentral:lncRNA from 1 species
UGAGAUUUCUUCCUCCGUUAUAUUCUGUUCGCUUUGGAACACAUAUGGUAUUAUAAUGAUAAUUAUUUGCAAAAUUCGACGCAGCUUUUAUGUCGAUUUCAAGCCAUGUUUUGAUCAAGGUUCAUGAGUAUCUUAACCAUAAUUGUAUAGACCUUCAAUAACCAUAUUUCACCAAUUUGUACUCAGGGGACGAUUUGAUAUUCUGAAU